AACGUCAAAAAGUCUUAUCCCGCUUGUGCCUGCACAAUAAAGGGAUGAUGACUUUGAGACACGCCCACAAUAUGAGCAUAAAAGUGAAGUGCAAACUUCACAAUAUGCGAAUAUUGAGGGGAAGGAUUGUGGGAGUGUGAAGCACGCAACAAUCCGUGUA
rnacentral:sRNA from 1 species